rnacentral:misc_RNA from 1 species
AACCUCUUGCCCAAAAUGAUUGACUUAAAGUUGUUUUAGUAGUUGGACUAGUAGUUAUUUAAAUCCUUUAACUAUCUUGUAUCCUACCAAUAUGGGAUAUUGCAAUAUAUCCCAUUUAAAUUUGUGAUAUACUCAUUGCAAUUUUGUGCUUUGCUAAUACUAUUGUGCUAGGUAUAAUUGCAAAAUUAGGAUUCAACUCUUGGGUGUUGUGAUUUACUGAUGUCUCAGGUGGCUCCAUCUAUUCUUUAGUCAUGAUUAGCCAUUUUUAGUAGGCCUAUCAGCUCCACACAAUUUUCUUACCUAAUUAAUUUUGAUAUCAAUCAUAACACUCCAAAAUCAACUGACCCAAAUAAUAUUCAGUUCAU